UGGUUUAACCGUCGUUUACAGUUUACUAUGGAGUUGCAGAGCCGAGCUGUUAACCUGCUAACGUUAACUGUUAUUAAUCAGCCGGAAAUGGGUAGCUGUAAGUCACCCUCUGCUGCCUGUUGCAGGUCGACGUGUGUUUCCUGAAAGCAAAUGCAAAUGUACUUACCUUAAUUUUCCAACCAUUCACACCAAGUUUAGAUGUUUUAACGUUAACAGUCGGCUAACGUUAACUUGUGGCCAACGGUUUUUCACGUCAACUUGCAGCUAACACUAAAAUAUUGUUAGCUAGCUAACGUUGAAGUUAUGUUAACGGCAGGCCGCUCGUUAGCUUGUCUGAAAUAAAGAUAGGCAGAAUCCGUCAUUUAACAACAUUAUUUCUGAGUAAGUUCAUAUAUUAACCAGCUACCGUUACAAAAAAACGUGGAAAUUAGUUUUAAAAGCAGUAGGACGAUGCACUUGUUGUGUUUGGGGACGUUUGUGUGGAUGUUGCCUUCAAGGACUCACAACGUUUGAAGUUAAGGAAGCCACGGGGUCAGAGCGAGUUGAGUCCCAUGUCAGGAUUGUCCCCACGUUGACCUGCGGCUGACUGGCCUCCCAGCAAAAAGCCCCUGUGAAGGCAGAAGGCGAAGCUGAUCCGAAGGUGAAAAACAUCCUCCUCCUCCUCCUCCUCCUCCUCUUCUCCCGGCUGAACAUCUGUCUCCGUGGUGUUGGCUGCAGCACCGAUUCUGACACCUCCAGAUGGAGAGCCCGCUGGGAGCGCUGAGGAACACAGAGUGUCUCCAGGCCGGAGUCUCGGUGGUGACACUGCAAAGCCUGACGCAUCUGCGGCUGCAGUCUAUCGUCUACUGACCCAGCGAUGAUCCCGCCGCCAUGAAUUAUGCAUGAGAUCCGGGUCCAGAUUACCCCUAUCAAUAUGCAAUACUCAUUACGCUGCUUAAAUUGCCACUUAAUAGUUAUGAAUAUCUGGAAAAUGUCUGGGACCCAUAUAGCACCACCACUGGUUUUAACUUUUUUUUUUUUUAAUACCUGAAAUGAAAAAGACUUUUUGGAAAUAUUACAUUUAAAAUCCUGGCAGCUUUUAGUUUACUUAGUUGAUGAGGUCGUUAUGUUUUAUUAGUUGCUGAUGGAUAAAGCCCAACAUUACAGGCUCGUCAUUUCUUUCUUUAAAGUCAGUGAAGCCUGCUUGUGUCCAGCUCUCCGGGGUUUGUCCGAGACUUCACCUUUGGCCGCUCGGUGACUUGACAGAUCGAGAUAAAAAAUCACUCCGAGAGCUCAAGUUCGUUUCAUGGCAGCUCCACAAAAGCUGCCCCCUUUUCUCCCCCCUCCCCUCCUUCAAUAAUAUUAUGUGUGCUAGAAAUAAAGCACUCUUUUAUUUUUAUUUUAAUAUGUGAAACUCAACAGUAUUUGCACCACUGAGCCAGAAAGGCCUGCAGAGCCACUUCUAAACUCAUAUUUCCAUUUAAAUCAAACAUAAAGCAGCACUUCCGCGUGUGUAAACAUGAGAGAAAUCAUGUUUAUAUCACCACUUUUGAAACUCAAAACACAAUCCAAUCUCAUAUUUGCUAAAUAAAAUUCAAGCAGCCACAAUAAAUUUUUUUUUUCUAUUAUGGAAACUUUUUUUUUUUUUUUUUUUUUCUCUCCAGCAGCUCAAACUAAACAUGACUGGACACCACAGUCCAGCCUUUGCAGUCCCAUCCACGCAGUUAAGCCGUCACUUUCAUUCAAGGUUGUGAAUUAUAUAGUACAUUGUCUACUCCCCAAAACCAUAAAACCAACUUUAUGGACCUCACGUGACUUUUCACAGUCUGUAAGUAAUAUAGGCCUAUACAAUCUUUGGUAAGGGGGGAUUUUUACCAACUUCAGCCUUGACUAGCUUUAUACACACACCUGUAAAGCCAAACCACUCUCUUUUUUUUAGGGGGAUUUUUUUUUUAAACAUUUUUUUCUACCACAUGGCAAACAUCUCGCUGCAAAAAAGAGCUGUGAUUGACGUCCACGAGGACGCGCAGAGAGCAAGGAAGGAGGGACACGCGCUUCCACACAGAUCAUCACCAUCAUCACCACCAUCAUCAUCAUCAUCAUCACACACCGUGAACAAGUGGACUCUAAUUUCACAUUUUCCAAAAAAUGUUGGAGAUUAUUGACGUUGUUGUUGUUGUUCCGGAGCUGCUGCACUUCAACCUUUUUGUGACUCUAAAGGUCUGUACAGCUUUGUUUUUGUUCCCUGAUCAGAGCUGCAGUGUUAUAUAGAUAUUUAAAGACUUAUAUGACACAAUAUUAGAUGAUUUCUGUUGGAUUUUAAACCUUGUGUGACCUGUUUCACCUUCAUUACCAAAUUAAUCGUCUAAUCUCAAAAACCUCAAACGCUGAUGAUUGAGCUUCUUUUUUUUUUUUUAAUCUGAAUGAUAUAGUUUCAGGCUGAAAGACUUUAGCAUUAAAGACUAUAAUCAUCUCUUAAAGUGCAGUUUCCUGCAGUCAGAGCAGAUCAAUGCGGCUUUGACCACAGGCCAAAGAGGCUAUUUGCGGUCAUGAAGGAGGGAUUUUAAGGUCACAAACUUUUCUAUGAAGAUUGUAAAGUACAAAAUUAAAACUUUUCACAGACUCAUUUCUGCUAAAAAAAAAAGCUUCUUAUCAUUUCUUAUGUCUUAUUUCCGUUUUGGAUAUUUUUUUUUCCAGAUGGCUUUCCUGUGAUUUUCACCUCCAACGAGGAUUUCCGACAUUUAUAGACGCAAUAAAACCAUAAAUUCCUGAAAUGCAGCACAUUCCCUCCCGCUUUCAUUUUUCCUUUUUCUUUCUUUUUUUUUUUAUGGCCUCCAGGAGACACAAACUCCAACAAAGUGCCUGUAAUAUAAUAUCCCGUAAAAUGUAAAGCUUUGUAUGUUUCUUAAGUAAAUGUCUUAAUUAAAAGCAUCACAGGCCUUUAAUUUCAUCUGUAUGUUAUCUAACAAUCAGUCAUAAAUGUAACCUUAUAUAUAAAAUAAUAAUGGAAAUAAGUUAAUUAAUGAAAACUGUAUUUAUUUCUCUCUGAAGGCC